GAGGAAAGUCCGGGCUCCGCAGGACAGGGUGGUCGGUAACGCCGACCGGCCGCAAGGCUCGGGAAAGUGCAACAGAAAGAUACCGCCUCCGCGGCUCGUCCGCGCGGUAAGGGUGAAAUGGUGCGGUAAGAGCGCACCAGCCGGCGGGGUGACCCGUCGGCUCGGCAAACCCCACCCGGAGCAAGGCCAAACAGAGAGGAGCCGCGCAGCGCAAGCUGCGCGGCGCGGACCGGUCCGGCCCGCCAUUACUCUCGGGUAGGUUGCUGGAGGCGGCGAGCAAUCGUCGUCCUAGAGAAAUGACCAUCGCCGGCCCCAGGGGCCCGGCACAGAACCCGGCUUA
rnacentral:RNase_P_RNA from 1 species